UACGAAGGGGGCUAGCGUUGCUCGGAAUCACUGGGCGUAAAGGGUGCGUAGGCGGGUCUUUAAGUCAGAGGUGAAAUCCUGGAGCUCAACUCCAGAACUGCCUUUGAUACUGAGGAUCUUGAGUUCGGGAGAGGUGAGUGGAACUGCGAGUGUAAGAGGUGAAAUUCGUAGAUAUUCGCAAGAACACCAGUGGCGAAGGCGGCUCACUGGCCCGAUACUGACGCUGAGGCACGAAAGCGUGGGGAGCA
rnacentral:rRNA from 1 species